UACGGGGGGGCAAGCGUUGUUCGGCAUUCCUGGGCGUAAAGGGCUCGUAGGCGGCCAACUAAGUCGGAUGUGAAAUCCCCAGGCUUAACCUGGGAAUUGCAUCCGAUACUGGAUGGCUUGAAUCCGGGAGAGGGAUGCGGAAUUCCAGGUGUAGCGGUGAAAUGCGUAGAUAUCUGGAGGAACACCGGUGGCGAAGGCGGCAUCCUGGACCGGCAUUGACGCUGAGGAGCGAAAGCCAGGGGAGCAAACGGG
rnacentral:rRNA from 1 species